UGUUCUGUAGCUUAGUUAGUUAAAGCGUCGGUCGAGCGAAUACGGAGUCGUGGGUUCGAAUCCCAUCAGAACUC
rnacentral:tRNA from 1 species